GAGUUUGAUCAUGGCUCAGAGCGAACGCUGGCGGCAGGCUUAACACAUGCAAGUCGAGCGGGCGUAGCAAUACGUCAGCGGCAGACGGGUGAGUAACGCGUGGGAACAUACCUUUUGGUUCGGAACAACACAGGGAAACUUGUGCUAAUACCGGAUAAGCCCUUACGGGGAAAGAUUUAUCGCCGAAAGAUUGGCCCGCGUCUGAUUAGCUUGUUGGUGAGGUAACGGCUCACCAAGGCGACGAUCAGUAGCUGGUCUGAGAGGAUGAUCAGCCACAUUGGGACU
rnacentral:rRNA from 1 species